rnacentral:rRNA from 1 species
UACGUAGGGUGCAGGCGUUUAAUCGGAAUUACUGGGCGUAAAGCGUGCGCAGGCGGUUUGCUAAGACAGGUGUGAAAUCCCCGGGCUUAACCUGGGAACUGCGCUUGUAACUGGCAAGCUAGAGUGUGGCAGAGGGGGGGUGGAAUUCCACGUGUAGCAGUGAAAUGCGUAGAGAUGUGGAGGAACACCGAUGGCGAAGGCAGCCCCCUGGGC